AGGAGAGUUUGAUCCUGGCUCAGGAUGAACGCUGGCGGCGUGCCUAACACAUGCAAGUCGAACGAAGCAUAUCGGACGGAGAUUCGUCGAAGCCUGGUAUGACUUAGUGGCGGACGGGUGAGUAAUGUAUGAGCAACCUGCCUUUCAGAGGGGGACAACAGUUGGAAACGACUGCUAAUACCGCAUAACAUACGAGGGGGACAUCCUCUUCGUAUCAAAGGAGCAAUCCGCUGAAAGAUGGGCUCAUAUCUGAUUAGCUAGUUGGCGGGGUAACGGCCCACCAAGGCGACGAUCAGUAGCCGGACUGAGAGGUUGAACGGCCACAUUGGGACUGAGAUACGGCCCAGACUCCUACGGGAGGCAGCAGUGGGGAAUAUUGGGCAAUGGGCGAAAGCCUGACCCAGCAACGCCGCGUGAAGGAAGAAGGUCUUCGGAUUGUAAACUUCUUUUAUGAGGGACGAAGGACGUGACGGUACCUCAUGAAUAAGCCACGGCUAACUACGUGCCAGCAGCCGCGGUAAUACGUAGGUGGCGAGCGUUAUCCGGAUUUACUGGGUGUAAAGGGCGCGUAGGCGGGGGUGCAAGUCAGAUGUGAAAUCCAUGGGCUCAACUCAUGAACUGCAUUUGAAACUGUAUCUCUUGAGUGCUGGAGAGGUAGAUGGAAUUCCUUGUGUAGCGGUGAAAUGCGUAGAUAUAAGGAAGAACACCAGUGGCGAAGGCGAUCUACUGGACAGUAACUGACGCUGAGGCGCGAAAGCGUGGGGAGCAAACAGGAUUAGAUACCCUGGUAGUCCCCU
rnacentral:rRNA from 1 species